AGAGUUUGAUCCUGGCUCAGAACGAACGUUGGCGGCGUGGAUUAGGCAUGCAAGUCGAACGAAUCCCGGGGGGCAACUCCCGGGGGAAGUGGCGAAAGGGGCAGUAAGGCAUGGGUAACUUGCCCCGGAGACCGGGAUAGCCACCCCAACGGGUGGGUAAUACAGGGCGUCGUAGUCGGGGGGCAUCCCCUGACUACGAAAGGAGAUUCGCUCCGGGAGAGGCUCAUGUAGUAUUAGCUAGUUGGUGAGGUAACGGCUCACCAAGGCCAAGAUGCUUAGCGGGUGUGAGAGCACGACCCGCGCCACUGGCACUGUGACACUGGCCAGACUCCUACGGGAGGCUGCAGUCGAGGAUCUUCGGCAAUGGGCGCAAGCCUGACCGAGCGACGCCGCGUGAGCGAUGAAGGCCUUCGGGUUGUAAAGCUCUGUCGGGGGGGAGAAAGGGGCAACCUUGAUCGACCCCCGGAGGAAGCACGGGCUAAGUUCGUGCCAGCAGCCGCGGUAAUAC
rnacentral:rRNA from 1 species